AUGCGCCUUGUCCUCGGGAGUGAGCGGUAUAGCUUGGUAGAUCUCCAUCUCGACGUACUUGAUGGUGUCCUUGCUCUGGUUGACGACGACGCUGCGGGCGUAGUAGGGGCAGCCGUCGAGGUGCACGUUCCGGUUGCCCUUGGAGGGCAACGGCAGCGGCAUGUCGCGGAGCUUGGGGCUGUCCUCGAGCACGUCGCAGAGGACGAUGCCUCGCCAGAGAUCCACCCAGAUGACCGUGCCCUUCGCGCCGCCGAGCGUGAUCACGUUGUUUGUCCGGUGGUGGAAGAGCCCCGGCGACGAGGGAAGGGUCGUCGGGCACACCUUAUCCCUCAGCGGCUCCUCCACCUCCACCACCUUGGAGGUCCAAGCCCCCUGCUCGCCGUCGGGCCCGGAGCGGUACAGGUAGAGCGUGAAGGUGAACUUGCCGAGGGUCUGGAGGGCGGCUACGGCGUAACCGCCGCCGCCGUCGCCGUCGCCGCAGCUCAGUAUGGCCAUCUCCGGGUCUUGGAAUUCAAAGCGAUGGGGAGCGGACGUCGGGAGCAGGUCCAGUCUUGGGCGUCGGGGGUGCGCCGUGUAGACGAAGUAGUCGCAGAACCUGAUGCUGAACCUGGCCGACCGGUCGACGGGGACGCGGAGGAGGACGAGGUCGGCGUCCGCGGCGAUGACCUUGGGCGCCAGGGACAGGGGCUCGGGUUCCGGGCACGCGGCGCAGUCGACGGAGAGGUACGAGAGGACUGGCGGGCGGAGGGCGCAGAGGGUCACCGCGAUGGGCAGGCCGGCGCUCGUCUUGGACGUGGCGGUGGCGGCGCUGCGGCUGGGGCUGACGGAGCCGAAGAGGUCGAGCAGCAUGGUGCUUGGGAUGUCGUGGCCCUCGCGGCUCCCGAUGAAGGCCGCGCCGGCCAUGGGGUCCGGUCGAUGGAUCAAUCUGAUCGGGGAAGACCCACCCGGAGCUUCACUUGGAUUUGGGAUCUGGGGACGGCGGGAUUUGGCCGGGCAAGGUGA
rnacentral:rRNA from 1 species